AACACCUUAGGCUGGUGGGGCUGCGGCAAGAAGCGGGUCUGUUUCUUUACUUCCUCCACGGAGUCGGCACACUAUGGCUGCCCUCUGGGCUCCCAGAACCCACAACAUGAAAGCUUGGAAAUGAAUAUGCUGCACUUUACAACCACUGCACUACCCGACUCAGGAAUCGGCUCUGGAAGGUGAAGCUAGAGGAACCAGACCUCAUCAGCCCAACAUCAAAGACACCAUCGGAACAGCAGCGCCCGCAGCACCCACCCCGCACCGGCGACUCCAUCUUCAUGGCCACCCCCUGCGGCGGACGGUUGACCACCAGCCACCACAUCAUCCCAGAGCUGAGCUCCUCCAGCGGGAUGACGCCGUCCCCACCACCUCCCUCUUCUUCUUUUUCAUCCUUCUGUCUCUUUGUUUCUGAGCUUUCCUGUCUUUCCUUUUUUCUGAGAGAUUCAAAGCCUCCACGACUCUGUUUCCCCCGUCCCUUCUGAAUUUAAUUUGCACUAAGUCAUUUGCACUGGUUGGAGUUGUGGAGACGGCCUUGAGUCUUGGUGCGAGUGUGUGUGAGUGUGAGCCACCUUGGCAAGUGCCCGCCCAGGGCCCGGCCGCCCUCCAUCUGGGCCGGGUGACUGGGCGCCGGCUGUGUGCCCGAGGCCUCACCCUGCCCUCGCCUAGUCUGGAAGCUCCGACCGACAUCACGGAGCAGCCUUCAAGCAUUCCAUUACACCCAUCUCGCUCUGUGCCCCUCCCCACCAGGGCUUCAGCAGGAGCCCUGGACUCAUCAUCAAUAAACACUGUUACAGCAA
rnacentral:lncRNA from 1 species